GAAACCGACCGACCGACGGGUGGGUCAUUUGGAAACCGACCGACCGACGGGUGGGUCAUUUGGAAACCGACCGACCGACGGGUGGGUCAUUUGGAAACCGACCACCGACGGGUGGGUCAUUUGGAAACCGACCGACCGACGGGUGGGUCAUUUAGAAACCGACCCACCGACAGACGGUGGGUCAUUUAGAAACCGCCCGACAGACGGUGGGUCAUUUAGAAACCGACAGACGGUGGGUCAUUUAGAAACCGACCGACAGACGGUGGGUCAUUUAGAAACCGACCGACCGACGGGUGGGUCAAUUAGAAACCGACCGAUGGGUGGGUCAUUUAGAAUAUGACCGACAGACGGUGGGUCAUUUAGAAACCGACCGACCGAUGGGUGGGUCAUUUAGAAACUGACUGACCGAUGGGUGGGUCAUUUAGAAACUGACCGACCGAUGGGUGGGUCAUUUAGAAACUGACCGACCGACGGGUGGGUCAUUUAGAAACUGACCGACCGACGGGUGGGUCAUUUGGAAACCGACCGACCGACGGGUGGGUCAUUUGGAAACCGACCGACCGACGGGUGGGUCAUUUGAAACCGACCGACCGGUGGGUCAUUUAGAAACCGACCGACAGACGGUGGGUCAUUUAGAAACCGACCGACCGACGGGUGGGUCAUUUAGAAACCGACCGACAGACGGGUGGGUCAUUUAGAAACCGACCGACCGACGGGUGGGUCAUUUAGAAAACCGACAGACGGGUGGGUCAUUUAGAGACCGACCGACGGACGGGUGGGUCAUUUAGAAACCGACCGACAGAUGGGUGGGUCAUUUAGAAACCUGACUGACAGACGGUGGGUCAUUUAGAAACCGACCGACCGACGGGUGGGUCAAUUAGAAACUGACCGACCGAUGGGUGGGUCAUUUAGAAACUGACUGACCGACGGGUGGGUCAUUUAGAAACCGACCCACCGACGGGUGGGUCAUUUGGAAACCGACCCACCGACGGGUGGGUCAUUUAGAAACCGACCGACGGGUGGGUCAUUUGGAAACCGACCGACGGACGGACGGGUGGGUCAUUUGGAAACCGACCGACGGACGGACGGGUGGGUCAUUUGGAAACCGACCGACGGACGGGUGGGUCAUUUAGAAACCGACCGACAGACGGUGGGUCAUUUAGAAACCGACCGACGGGCUGGUCAUUUAGAAACCGACCGACCGACGGGUCGGUCAUUUAGAAACCGACUGAGCUAAUUAAACUGUUAAGCUAUUAAGCCGCUCCCCCUGUUCCCAGGAUGUACAUUGCUCCAGGAUGUUAAACUCUUCCUUUGUGACAUUUCUGAAGGCGACAGCUUUUGUUUGUUGUUUUCUUCUAAUCAGCCCUCGAAGUACCGCACAGCCCAGUUUGUAUUCUUAAUGGUGUUUUGCUUUGUUGGAGAUUUUCUCUUCGUCAUUCAAUACAUUAUUUUUCACAUCUGCAUGCCUCGGUAGUAUUUCCUGGGUAGUAUAUUAUUUUCUCCUCCCCAUUCAUCCAUAUUCAUGCUGCCGAAAAGAGCAAAAUAAAUGUUCCACUCACACGUUUUAGUUUUCGCAAAACAAAGUAUUGAUUUAGCUGUUGCUAUGACAACCAUCUGAAUUUGCUGUCGGUGAUGGUCGCACCCAUUCGCAAUUAUAUGGGACAGUUCAAUAUCGAAAAGGUCAGAGAGACAGACAACGAGGUGCAUACUAAUCUCUGCUGUUGGAAACCAAGUGUUAGUCUAAAAGAAAUGUGAGAUAAUGUCUAGAUGCUUUUCUAUAGUGGAGCUCAAGUUUAUACAUUGCCCGGCUGGGCUGAUGAGACAGUGGAUUGCAGCAGUCAGAUGGAACAGAGUAAAUAGGCAUUUUAACAUCUCAGAUUUAGCCGGUGGCAACUUGUGGAAUAGACACCGGCUGGAAUGCGGUUUCACCCAAUCAGCAUUCAGGAUUAGACUCACCAGUAGUAUUAAAAUAUAAUAUUAUCUCCAGUUCUCCUUCUCCUCGUUGCAAGCACCAUGCUCUACCAACUGAGCUCCAGAGGAACUCUAACCUGAUCUGUUUCCUCUCUCUCUCUCUCUCUCUCUCGCUCUCUCGCUCUCUCUCUCUCGCGCUCGCUCUCUCUCACUCUCUCUCUCUUGCGCGCUCUCGCUCUCUCUCUCUUUCUCUCCCUUUCUUUCUCUGAGUUUGUAUCUUAGUCACUUUAAAUCACUGUCACCACCUAAUGCCCCCCACUUCCCAACCGAUCCAGGACCAGCGUGUACCCCACAACAACGGUGUCACUACUGACGGCGGCAACAAUGAUGAUAACAACAUCAUCAAUAAUGGCAGCAACAACAUCAAUGGCAGCAGCAGCAUCAAUAAUGACAGCAACAACAACAGCAUCAAUAAUGACAACAACAGCAUCAAUACUGACAGCAACAACAACGGAUCAUAUUUACAUAAGUAUUCAGACCAUUUACUCAGUACUUUGUUGAAGCACCUUUGGCAACUAUUACAGCCUCAAUAUUUUCCUCAAUUAUCAGGUCUCUCCAGAGUUGUUUGGUCAGGUUCAAGUCCGGGCUCUGGCUGGACCACUCAAGGACAGUGAGACUUGUCCCGAAGCCACUCCUGCGUUGUCUUGGCUGUGUGCUUAGCAUUGUUGUCCUGUUGGAAGGUGAACCUUCUCCCCAGUCUGAGGUCCUGAGGGAUCUGAAGUAAGUUUUCAUCAAGGAUCUCUCUGUACUUUGCUCCUUUCAUCUUUGCCUCGGUCCUGACUAGUCUCCCAGUCACUACCUCUGAAAAACAUCCCCACAGCGUGAUGCUGCCUCCACGCUUCACAAUAGGGCUGGUCCCAGGUUUCCUAUAGAUGUUGACUCUUGGCAUUCAGACCAAAGAGUUCAAUGUUGGUUUCAUCAGACAAGAGAAACGUGGUCUGAGAGUUCUGUGGAGAGCUCUGUCAGAGCUCCAUCGGGUUUUUGGUCACCUCCCUGACCAAGGAGCUUCUCCACCGAUUGCUCAGUUUGGCCGGGCGGCCAGAUCUAGGAAGAGUCUUGGUGGUACAAAACUGUGUUCUUGGCAUCCUUCGAUGCUGCAGAAAUGUUUUGGUACCUUCCCCAGAUCUGUGCCUCGACACAAUCCUGUCUCGGAGCUCUACGGACAAUUCCUUCGACCUCAUGGCUUGGUUUUUGCUCUAACAUGCACUGUCAACUGUGGGACCUUAUAUAGACUGGUGUCUGGUAAUUUACCACAGAUGGACUCCAAGUUGUAGAAACAUCUCAAGGAUGAUCAAUGGAAACAGGAUGCACCUGAGGUCAAUAUCAAGUCUCAUAGGAAAGGGUCUGAAUACUUAUGUGAAUAAGGUCUUUCAGUUAUAUAUAUAUAUAUAUAUAUACACACACACACACACACACACAGUGGGGCAAAAAAGUAUUUAGUCAGCCACCAAUUGUGCAAGUUCUCUCACUUAAAAAGAGAGUGGAGGACAGAGGAGCCUCUUAAAGAAGAAGUUACAGGUCUGUGAGAGCCAGAAAUCUUGCUUGUUUGUAGGUGACCAAAUACUUAUUUUCCACCAUAAUUUGCAAAUAAAUUCAUUAAAAAUCCUACAAUGUAAUUUUCUGGAUUUUUUUUCCCUCAUUUUGUCUGUCAUAGUUGAAGUGUACCUAUGAUGAAAAUUACAGGCCUCUCUCAUCUUUCUUGUUUACACUUCAUCAUUACGGGGUAUUUGUGUGUAGAUUGCUGAGGAUAUAUAUAUUUUUAAAUCCAUUUUAUAAUGAGGCCGUUAUGUAACAAAAUGUGGAAAAAGUCAAGGGGUCUGAAUACUUCCCGAACAAGGGGGUGUCUGUGUGUCUGUGUCAUCUGUGUGUGUGUGUGUGUGUGUACAUAUAUGAUUACCUUAAGACUCUUGGUGGGUGGAAGGAAGAUCGUUUGUUAUAGGAGGAUGGGUGUUGUAGAAACAGCCCACAUUUCAAACCAGGGACGGGUUUGGAUACAGAAGGACAGGAUUUUAACUUUUUCAUUUGAAACACAAAAAUGUUGUACUAUUUAUUAAAAAUAAAAUUACGUCAGGAAAUGUUUGGUUUUUGUUCAAAAUGUAAAUGUCAACUUUAGGUCAAUUGGCAUUUCUUAUUUUGCUACACUGGUGUGUGGGUUGUUUGUAUGUGUAGCACAAUAUAUUGCUUUCUGCAUGGGAUACUAUUGUGAGAGAAUGACUACACUCCUGCCCAUGCUUUAAAUGUCAAUAGUGACCUUAAGAACAGUGUAGUUUUUUUAUUGUUGGAGACAGGAAUCUGAUCACCAACCCCCCCUCUGUACAUGAUGAAGGGGAUUGGAUAAAGUUGGGGUCAAUUCGAAUUGAAGGCAGGAAGAGAUUUGAUUUAUUUUAUUUUUUUAAUUUAAGAAAUCUUUUGAAAUUAUCAGCUUCUACUUUUCAGUUCAUUCAAAAAUAUGUACCUUUUAUUUUUUUUUAUUUUUUAGGAAUUUCAGUUUCUUCCAUCCUAUGGAAUUGAGCCCUGCUCUAGAUACUGUUCUAGGAUCAGUUGUGUAUUUCUCCCAUCCAUGGUUAAGGCUAAGCUUUGCAGAGAAUAAGCUGAUCCUAGCUCUGGGCAACAUGGGAAACUAGUUUCACUUGGAGCUUCUAGAGGUCGAUCAGGACAAGGUCAUCGGGUCAGGGCUCAAAGGUCAGACAGGCCCUGGUUGUAUGUACACUGCCCAGCGACCUUUCACCUCUCCUCCAGAGACUAGGUGUGCUUCCCAAAUGGCACCAUAUUCCCUAUAUAGUGCACUAGCCCACAUAGGGCUCUGGUCUAAAGUAGUGCACUAUAAAUAGGAAAUAGGGUGCCAUAGGGCUCUGGUCUAAAGUAUUUUUAUCAGCCCUCUGAUUACAAUUGAGAGCAAAACGUGCUGCUCUGUUGUCAGCCAGCUGCAGCUUAACUAGGUGUUUCCUUGCAGCACUGGACCACAAGACUGGUCAAUAAUCAAGAUGAGAUAAAUCUAGAGCCUGCAGGACUUGCUUUGAGGAGUGUGGUGUAGAAAAAAGCAGAGCAUCUCUUUAUUACGUCUACCUCUCCCCGUCUUUGAAACCAUUGAAUCUACAGUGGCAUGUGAAAGUAUUCACCCCCCUUGGUAUUUUUCCUAUUUUGUUGCCUUACAACCUGAAAUUAAAAUAUAUUUUGGGGGGGGUUUGUAUCAUUUGAUUUACACUUUGAAGAUGCAAAAUAUGUUUUAUAAUGAAACAAACAAAAAACAUUACAAAAACAGAACCCCACCUCCCCCCCAAAAGUCAAUACUUUGUAGAGCCACCUUUUGCAGAAAUUACAGCUGCAAGUGUCUUGGGGUAUGUGUCCAUCUAGCCAAUGGGAUUAGGAUAUACCUCUGUGCAACUGGUGAUUGAAAAUAGGCACCUGGUAACCUAAAAAUUAAAUGGUAUUUUAGCCCAUUCUUCAAGGCAAAACUGCUCCAGCUCCUUCAAGUUGGAUGGGUUCCGCUGGUGUACAGCAAUCUUUAAGUCAUACCACAGAUUCUCAAUUGGAUUGAGGUCUGGGCUUUGACGAGACAUUGAAAUGUUUCCCCUUAAACCACUCAAGUGUUGCUUUAGCAGGAUGCUUAGGGUCAUUGUCCUGCUGGAAGGUGAACCUUCAUCCCAGUCUCAAAUCUCUGGAAGACUGAAACAGGUUUUCCCAAGAAUUUCCCUGUAUGCAUCAUGUUGUGGGGGUGCUUUGCUGCAGGAGGGACUGGUGCACUUCAUAAAAUAGAUGGCGUCAUGAGGGAGGAAAAUGAUGUGGAUAUAUUGACGCAACAUCUCAAGACAUCAGUCAGGAAGUUAAAGCUUGGUCGCAAAUGAGUCUUCCAAAUGGACAAUGUCCCCAAGCAUACUUCCAAAGUUGUGGCAAAAUGGCUUAAGGACAAAGUCAAGGUAUUGGAGUGGCCAUCACAAAGCCCUGACCUCAAUCCUAUAGAACAUUUGUGGGCAGAACUGAUAAACCGUGUGCGAGCAAGGAGGCCUACAAACCUGACUCCGUUACACCAGUUCUGUCAGGAGGAAUGGGCCAGAAUUCACCCAACUUAUUGUGGGAAGCUUGUGGAAGGCUACCCGAAACGUUUGACCCAAGUUAAACAAUUUAAAGGCAAUGCUACCAAAUACUAAUUGAGUAUAUGUAAACUUCUGACCCACUGGGAAUGUGAUGAAAGAAAUAAAAGCUGAAAUAAAUCAUUUGACUAUUAUUCUGACAUUUCACAUUCUUCAAAUAAAGUGGUGAUCCUAACUGACCUAAAACCAGUGAAUUUAGAAACAAGAAUUUCCCUGUAUGUCGCAC
ensembl:lncRNA